AGAGUUUGAUCAUGGCUCAGGGUAAACGCUGGCGGCGUGCCUAAAACAUGCAAGUCGAACGGGCAGUCUUCGGAUUGUCAGUGGCAGACGGCUGAGUAACGCGUGGGUGACGUACCUGUUGGUGGGGAAUAACUGCCCGAAAGGGUGGCUAAUUCCGCAUACGUCCUUCAGUUCAGUCUGAAGGAGAAAGCCGCAAGGCGCCGAUGGAGCGGCCCGCGUCCGAUUAGCUGGUUGGUGGGGUAACGGCCUACCAAGGCAACGAUCGGUAGCUGGUCUCAGAGGAUGAUCAGCCAGACUGGGACUGAGACACGGCCCAGACUCCUACGGGAGGCAGCAGUUAGGAAUUUUGGGCAAUGGGCGCAAGCCUGACCCAGCAACGCCGCGUGGGUGACGAAGGCCUUCGGGUUGUAAAGCCCUUUUCUGAGGGAAGAUAGUGACGGUACCUCAGGAAGAAGCACCGGCUAACUACGUGCCAGCAGCCGCGGUAAUAC
rnacentral:rRNA from 1 species